ACUCAAAUGAAUAGACGGGGCCCCGCACAAGCAGCGGAGCGUGUGGUUUAAUUCGAUGUUACACGAAGAACCUUACCAGGGUUUGACAUGCAAGUGGUAGGAAACCGAAAGGUGACCGACCCCUCGGGGAGCUUGCACAGGUGCUGCAUGGCUGUCGUCAGCUCGUGUCGUGAGAUGUUCGGUUAAGUCCGCUAACGAGCGCAACCCUCGCUGUGUGUUACAAGUGUCACACAGAACUGCCGGUCUUAAGCCGGAGGAAGGUGGGGAUGACGUCAAGUCAGCAUGGCCUUUAUGUCCUGGGCUACACACACGCUACAAUGGCCAACACAAUAGGUUGCUAAGCCGCGAGGUGGAGCCAAUCCUCAAAGUUGGUCUCAGUUCAGAUUGUAGGCUGCAACUCGCCUGCAUGAAGACGGAGUUGCUAGUAACCGCAGGUCAGCUAUACUGCGGUGAAUACGUUCCCGGGGCUUGCACACACCGCCCGU
rnacentral:rRNA from 1 species